UUUGAAGAGAAUGAGAGCUGUUUGGAAUGGUUUGGAAGGCUGGGACAGGCACAUGGGCACAUCAUCCCUCACACACUCGUCAAUGGAGAUGUGAUACAAGAAUGUCAAGGUGAAAUGGGAUACACAAAGGUUGCCCCAGUUUGGUGUUUUGGAAAAUGAACAUAGGUUUGGAUCUAUGGAAAAUAAUGUGAAAAAUUCAAAUGAGAUUUGCAAAGCUGCCCCAGUCUUGGGAUUGUGGGUUGAUGAAAAACUCGGGUGAGACUGACAAAGUUGCCCCGAUUUUUUGGUAAGGGGUUCUGUCUGGAAGAAGUAGUGGACAUGAAAAGGAUCGACUAAAAGGAUGGCCCCAAUGGGUUUGAUUUUUCUUUUGCAUGCUUCUGGUUGGAUGGCAGGGUGAUCCCCUCUUCCCUAGACAUCACUUUUUCUUCUUUUUUUUCAUUUUCAAACCUUUUUUUUUUUUUACGACAUAUUGAAUGUCAAUUCACCUUAUCGCAAAAUUAAGCUUCAUGAAAAUUCUAGCAAACAUCAUCCAAUCUGCGUGGACUUUAUUAAGCUUGUAACGUGGCUAAGGGCUAAAAGGUAUUGAAAGGAAGGAUAUAAAGGCGCAAAUGAAUGCUUAUUGGUUAUUUAUUUUAUUUUUUUAAACAAGGGUUAUCAUCUAAGCAUCGCAUCAAUUAUUUGACAUUUUGAGCACUUUGCUUCUUCUUUGAACUUUGGUUUUCAUUCUUUUUGCUUAACAUCACUUUGUGAUUUUUUUUUUGUUCUUUUUUUUUGUUUUUCUUUUGUUUUUUAUUCACUCUUCUUGAUGAAUUCUCUUUGUUUGUUCAUUGCUUAGGGAUAAUUUUGAAAAAGAAAUUAUUUUUGGCUCAAACAGGGUGACAAUGGAUAUAUGUUUUUGCUUUUUGGAUGAAGAAAAGAUGGCCACACAUCAUUUCAAAUUCUGAUUGCUCUAUUUUCAAAAGAUUAGUUUUGCGAUUAAAUGACCUCAACAAGAGUAGUUUUUUUUUUCUUUUUUUUAUUAUUUCUAGACUGCCCUUUCGGGUUUUCAAUCUAGUGGACUUAUUCUCUUUUUGAAAGUUUUUUUUCAUAUUUUUUAUUUUGUCUUAAUGAAUUCGGGGAUCACCCUACUAGCGCAAGCGAGAAAACUUUUGGCGAAGCCAAUCUGCCCCAGUGUAAAAGUUUACUUUGUUAUUAAGGACAACGACGAUGUUUGUUGAGGGGAGAUCCUUUAUUUUGGAAAAGUGAAGGGCGAAGGUUUUCAAGCAGCAUGUGCACAAACGUCUUGUGAGAAACGUCAAAAUUGUUAUUUUUGAUUUACCAUUUGACCUUGGAAAAGUCUGACACUACAACUUUUGUUUUUUAUUGCCAUUUUUCAUCAUUUUUUUUAUUUUCCAAAAACAAGAGUUUGAAGAUUUGCAAGAAAGACAAAUGACUCAAGAUCGCCAUCAUUUUUUCAAUUUUCUUUUUUUCAAUACCCUUUCAGAACUCGAUUUCCAGCACUACUUGGAGAAAUCCUGUAGAGAAAGUUCGCAUUUAAAGUCAUAGAUGACGGCGCGAUAUCAAUGAACACAGAUCUCUUGGCAAGAUACUUCACAACAUCAAAUUCACUCGUAUGAUGACUUAUGUUUUCUUAUGUGUUUCUAGAGCCCGCAUCAUUGUUUCAUAGCAUCUGUAGAGACAUUCUCAAGCCUUGCCUUAGUGUAGGGUUGACUUUCUUUACACUUUAAUAAUUCUGAAUCGACCAAAACUUGUCUUUGCACUUAACAACAGACACUUUUGGUGUAAUGAUCGAUAGCCCCUUCAUGGUGAAUACCUUUCGUAUCGUGAGUCUUGAAGUAUUGAGGGUCUAAAGGCUUCAUGUAACCAUUAGAGACAAGGCCUUUUUGAAGCAAACUUGGAAGCAACGUUGCUUAAGUCAUAUGUAUAGGAGUGAAGCUCGCAGCCUUUUCUCUUGAUCAAACAUUUUCCUGCACAACGGCUUAGUGAGAAGUUGAGUUUGAAUCAAAUAUCCCAUUUGUCUUGCAAUUGUUUCAAGUGAAGUGUAGGCCAACGGGAUUUGAGCGAUAGGAGGUGAUUAAACUCUUUGCUUUCUUCUCUUCGCAAGCUUAAACCCGACUUGUUCAUAUUUGCUAUCAUGGUAUGACCUUGCGUGACCGUUCCAAUCCUCACACUAACUUCAAUUCUUUCUUCAAGUAUCCUCAGGCCUACAAAGUUUGAGGAACGCUGCUCACCAUGGUCUCAUAGAAGGGUGAUCGCAGAGUAUUUAGGAAUGUGUCAACCAUCUCAUUAUCACUGAUAAUAGACUUUUCUUGAGCAACAUUCUUUCCACCUUUGGGUAUAGUCUUUGAAUGAUUUUGACUGCUUUUUCACCAUACUUUGUAGUUGUAAUCCAUGAGAUGUCACAUUCGUGUCAUAUUUGAAAUGCUUCAAGAAAGCAUCCACCAGAUCUUCCCACUACUAGAUGCACUAAGGUUCAAGAUGAUUGCCCCAAUUAAUGCCAUGUCAGCCAAUCUACCUUGGAAGAAAUGAAUUAGCAACCUUUCAUCACAUGCAUGAACGACCAUUUUCUUCCCAUACGCCAUGAGGUGGCUUAUAAGACAAGCGGUCCCUCUGGAUAAUUUAAACUUUGGGAGAUACCACCACAUCUGGGACUAAUCAUAACUCUACAACAUUUUCAAACUUAGAGCUUCCUCCACAUUCUAUGACUGUCAUCUUUUUUCAGCAUUUCAAACUUACCCUUGUCAACCUCAACAUCCAUUUGUGCACAAACAUGGAAAGAAGAUUUCAGCUCGGAUUGCCUUGUUAUCAUCAUGUUGAAGCCUUCUCCUAGGGACCAUGAAAGUGGUUGCCNCAAGCUUGUUCUCCACUUCAACUGCGUUAUCUUUAGCCUUUCGAGUGUGAACUUGCCCCAAGUACGCUCCUGAGGGUGAAGUGCAAUUUAUGGAAGAUCAUGUAAGGGAAAUUUUGGGUUUCUGAUACUCUGUGUUGUAGUCGUGGUGCACACGAAUCUCCAGUUCCCUGUAAAGCAUUCAGGGCCUCUAAGGCUUGGCUCAUUUGCCCCUUCAAUUGUUGGAUAUCAACUUUUCAUCCCUUCUUGAACUUCUCCUUGGUUCUCCAAGAUUU
rnacentral:lncRNA from 1 species